AUGGCUCAGAAUGAACGCUGGCGGCAUGGAUUAGGCAUGCAAGUCGAACGUACUCCCUUCGGGGAGAAAGUGGCGAAAGGGUGAGUAACACGUGAGCAACCUGCCUCCGGAUCCGGAAUAAUCCAGGGAAACUUGGUCUAAAACCGGAUGAAGACAUUGGUCCGCAUGGUCUAAUGUUAAAAUAUUUAUAGUCCGGAGAGGGGCUCGCGGCCCAUUAGCUUGUUGGCGGGGUAAUGGCCCACCAAGGCUACGACGGGUAGGUGGUCUGAGAGGAUGGUCACCCACACUGGGACUGAGACACUGCCCAGACUCCUACGGGAGGCUGCAGUCGAGAAUCUUCCGCAAUGGGCGCAAAGCCUGACGGAGCGAUGCCGCGUGAGGGAUGAAGGCCUUCGGGUUGUAAACCUCUGUCAUCCGGGACGAAAACAAUGACGGUACCGGAAAAGGAAGCCACGGCUAACCACGUGCCAGCCGCAGC
rnacentral:rRNA from 1 species